AGUGGCGGACGGGUGAGUAACGCGUGAGAAUCUGCCUUCAGGUCGGGGACAACAGAGGGAAACUUCUGCUAAUCCCGGAUGAGCCUUAGGGUAAAAAAUUUAUUGCCUGGAGAUGAGCUCGCGUCUGAUUAGCUAGUUGGUAAGGUAAAAGCUUACCAAGGCAACGAUCAGUAGCUGGUCUGAGAGGAUGAGCAGCCACACUGGGACUGAGACACGGCCCAGACUCCUACGGGAGGCAGCAGUGGGGAAUUUUCCGCAAUGGGCGAAAGCCUGACGGAGCAAGACCGCGUGGGGGAGGAAGGCUCUAGGGUUGUAAACCCCUUUUCUUUGGGAAGAACAAAAUGACGGUACCAAAGGAAUCAGCCUCGGCUAACUCCGUGCCAGCAGCCGCGGUAAUACGGAGGAGGCAAGCGUUAUCCGGAAUGAUUGGGCGUAAAGCGUCCGCAGGUGGCAAUGUAAGUCUGCUGUCAAAACCCAGGGCUCAACUCUGGUCAGGCAGCGGAAACUACAUAGCUAGAGUUCGGUAGGGGCAAAGGGAAUUCCCGGUGUAGCGGUGAAAUGCGUAGAGAUCGGGAAGAACAUCGGUGGCGAAAGCGCUUUGCUAGACCGAAACUGACACUCAGGGACGAAAGCUAGGGGAGCGAAUGGGAUUAGAUACCCC
rnacentral:rRNA from 1 species